rnacentral:rRNA from 1 species
GACGAACGCUGGCGGCGUGCUUAAUACAUGCAAGUCAACUGAACUUGAAGUAGCAAUAUUUCAAGGGAGGUGGCGCACGGGUGAGUAACACGUAGGUAAUCUGCCUUUAGGUCUGACAUAAUUCCGCGAAAGCGGGACUAACUUCAGAUGAUGCAGCGGCUCGACAUCGAGACAGUUGUUAAAUCUUCGGAGCCUAAAGAUGAGCCUGCGUCUGAUUAGGUAGUUGGCGGAGUAAAAGCCCACCAAGCCUGCGAUCAGUAGCUGGUCUGAGAGGAUGAUCAGCCACACUGGAACUGAGACACGGUCCAGACUCCUACGGGAGGCAGCAGUGGGGAAUUUUGGACAAUGGGGGCGAACCCUCGAUCCACGCCACUGCCGCGUGAGUGAAGAAGGCCUCGGUUGGUAAGUACGUCUUCGUCCGGGACGGAAGUACGCACUGGCGUAACGUACCUACGUGUCGGAGUGACGGUACCGGCCGACUAAGAAGACGACCGGACCG